ACGAUGGAAUAUUAACAAAGCUAAGCAAACAUGGGAUGAGAGGCAGUGUAAAGGGGCCAGAUUUUGGCUGCAAUUCACCAGCAGAGGAUUUGUCUGGCAGAGGAAAACACAUUGCUGGCCCAAAGCCACUAGAUAUGGCUCCUAAUCCAGCAGCUCAUGACCAUGUUGGCAUAGAUGGCAUGCUGGGGGAAUAAGUCCAAUUUACCGGAGCUGCAAAGAAUGGUUCUCUAGAGACGAGAAUGACGGCAAAUAUCAGUCUUUCAGGCUUGCAUCAUUUUAAUAAAAAUGAUCAAAUGAUUGCUAUAUAAUGAAAAAUAAAACAAACAUGUAAAUAUUGAAAACCUUAGUAAA